rnacentral:rRNA from 1 species
ACAGGCUUAACACAUGCAAGUCGUGGGGAAACGGCAUUAUGUGCUUGCACAUUCUGGACGUCGACCGGCGCACGGGUGAGUAUCGCGUAUCCAACCUGCCCCUUACUUGGGGAUACCCCGUUGAAAGACGGCCUAAUACCCGAUGUGUUUCAUUGACGGCAUCCGAUAUGAAACAAAGGUUUUUUCCGGUAAGGGAUGGGGAUGCGUCUGAUUAGCUAGUUGGCGGGGCAACGGCCCACCAAGGCGACGAUCAGUAGGGGUUCUGAGAGGAAGGUCCCCCACAUUGGAACUGAGACACGGUCCAAACUCCUACGGGAGGCAGCAGUGAGGAAUAUUGGUCAAUGGACGCAAAGUCUGAAACCAGCCAAAGUAGCGUGCAGGAUGACGGGCCCCUAUGGGUUGUAAACUGCUUUU